rnacentral:lncRNA from 1 species
UUCUCUAGUCACUCUUGGCUCAGUCACACUGUUAUUUACAAAGCCAUUUUGGGCUAACUACAAUUUUAUUGUUUUUUAUUGUUCAGAAAUGUGGACGCUCUUGAAAAAGAGAUUUCAAAUCUCAAUGAGCCCUUCCUGGUUAAAUAAAGGUGAAAUAAAUAAAAUAAAUAAAGUAUGACCACCACCGGUGCAGCGAGACCCACUACAACAUCUACAUUAUCCGCAAGUAUGACCACCACCGGUGCAACCAUGGAAGAUGAUGAAAUGGAGGAAGCACCUCUGGAUCUAGGACCGCCUGAGAUUAUUAUGAACCUCACGGAUGUGACCACUGAGGACCUCGUUGAACAGGAUGUGGCCGUGGAGAGAAACGAGGAGAGAAACGAAGAGAGAAACGAAGAGGAACAACGUCACACCAGGCGUCCUCGGCGGUACCAGCCCCCAGAUCCACUCAACUCAUUUCAGCAGAGGCUCCUCCAAGCCGUCGAGAGGGAUGCAGCCCAACCUGAUGCUCGCAGGAAGGAGGAUGAAGAGACCCUCUUUGCCAUGAGCCUGGUGCCAACACUGAAGAGGCUGCCUCAACAAAGAAAAGCAGCAGUCAAGGAUAAAAUGUAUCAGCGGCUUUUCGAAGCCAAGUUCAAUGAGAUGGAGUCAAUUUAGCCGACCAGCUCACAGGAAGGACAGGAAGAGGAGAGGAGUUGUCUGGUUGCUGUUUUGACCUCCCUCAUUGUACCUUUCUUUUCACACACGUCAGUUCCGUUUAAAUUCAGUCAAUUCAUAAAGUAAUUUGUUUAUAAAGUCUUAGGAUAGCAUUCAUUAUUAGUGUUACAUAGAUUUCUGAAUUGACAGAAUUGAAACUCAUACACAGGAGAAUUAACAGAUGCUCUUGUUGGUCUCUUACAAGACUAAAGGAACUCAGCAGCGAUGGCCCUCCAGUCUUCCUCCUUGGGGACAGGCAUGUAUUCACCAACCAGACAGUCCCAAAUGGCUUGUGCCACAGAGGGGACAAUGCCUGCCACCGUGGACCGUCCAACUCGGAAGCUGAAUCCAAUGGUCCUGUAGGAGUCCCCUGUCGCCAAGAAUCUGAAAUAUAAUUCCAAAUAAUUAUCAAUAUUGUGUGUAACUUGAAUUCCACCCACAUAUUAUAUCUACUUAUAUAGCUACCUCAUUACUGUUUAUUAAGCU